GUCUGACAUUGGAAUAAUGCAGAACACUUGAUUCAGGUCAUAGAAGAAGCAACACUUUGGGCACAGCACAACACAACCAAGUGAGCACUGGAAACCUGGCACCCAUAGGAUAUUGAAAGUUAUCAGGAUAUUCUUCCCACUCCAAGAUCCAGGAAAGUAACACAUCAAUACAGGACAAGGAGAUGCUUCAACAUCAGAAAUGCAUGGGAGAGGUCAUAGGAAAUGAAACAGACUGCUGUUUUCAUGAGAAGCAUUUACAGAGGGAAAUAAGGACACUCACCAAAUAGGGCUAAUUUGAAGAAGGACACAGCUGACUUAGUAGGAAGAAGGCAGAAGAAUUAUCUCCUGGUAAUCAAGACUCUGAAAAUAAGACUUAAGAUAAAAGACUGGAUACAUGCAAGAACAGAGUUCUUAAAGAUCACCAGCUGAAGAUUGUGAUUUUUCAUUCUUCUAUGCCCUAAGACAGCCAUAUUUUACCAUUUGAAACAUAAAUAAAAAUGACUUCCAGGCUUA